rnacentral:rRNA from 1 species
CCUACGGGCGGCUGCAGUGAGGAAUAUUGGUCAAUGGGCGUAAGCCUGAACCAGCCAAGUCGCGUGAGGGAUGAAGGUUCUAUGGAUCGUAAACCUCUUUUAUAAGGGAAUAAAGUGUGGGACGUGUCCUGUUUUGUAUGUACCUUAUGAAUAAGGCUCGGCUAACUCCGUUCCAGCAGCCGCGGUAAUACGGAGGAUCCGAGCGUUAUCCGGAUUUAUUGGGUUUAAAGGGUGCGGAGGCGGCCUUUUAAGUCAGGGGUGAAAGUCUGUGGCUCAACCCUAGAAUUGCCGUUGAAACUGGGAGGCUUGAGUAUGUUUGAGGCAGGCGGAAUGCGUGGUGUAGCGGUGAAAUGCUUAGAUAUCACGCAGAACCCCGAUUGCGAAGGCAGCCUGCCAAGCCAUAACUGACGCUGAUGCACGAAAGCGUGGGGAUCAAACAGGAUUAGAUACCCGAGUAGUC